rnacentral:siRNA from 1 species
UUUGAUCGUGAGGAUGAUUAGGAAA